UACGAAGGGGGCUAGCGUUGUUCGGAAUUACUGGGCGUAAAGCGCACGUAGGCGGAUAUUUAAGUCAGGGGUGAAAUCCCGGGGCUCAACCCCGGAACUGCCUUUGAUACUGGGUAUCUAGAGUCCGGAAGAGGUGAGUGGAAUUCCAGGUGUAGCGGUGAAAUGCGUAGAUAUCUGGAGGAACACCGGUGGCGAAGGCGGCGUUCUGGACUGUAACUGACACUGAGGAACGAAAGCCAGGGGAGCAAACGGG
rnacentral:rRNA from 1 species